CUACCACAUCCAAGGAAGGCAGCAGGCGCGCAAAUUACCCACUCCCGGAACGGGGAGGUAGUGACGAAAAAUAACAAUACGGGACUCUUAUGAGACCCCGUAAUUGGAAUGAGUACACUCUAAAUCCUUUCACGAGGACCCAUUGGAGGGCAAGCCUGGUGCCAGCAGCUGCGGUAAUUCCAGCUCCAAUAGCGUAUAUUAAAGUUGUUGCGGUUAAAAAGCUCGUAGUUGGAUCUCAGUUCCGGACGGGCGGUCCGCCGUCCCGGUGGUCACUGCCCGGUCCGAACAACCAGCCGGCUUAUCUCGAUGAUCUUCACCGGUUGUCUUGGUUGGCCGGCAAGUUUACUUUGAAGAAAUUAGAGUGCUCAAAGCAGGCGCGACGCCUGGAUAAUGGUGCAUGGAAUAAUGGAAUAGGACCUCGGUUCUAUUUUGUUGGUUUUCGGAACACGAGGUAAUGAUUAAGAGGGACAGACGGGGGCAUUCGUAUUGCGACGCUAGAGGUGAAAUUCUUGGACCGUCGCAAGACGAACUACUGCGAAAGCAUUUGCCAAGAAUGUUUCCAUUAAUCAAGAACGAAAGUUAGAGGUUCGAAGGCGAUCAGAUACCGCCCUAGUUCUAACCAUAAACGAUGCCAGCCAGCGAUCCGGCUGUGUUCCUCAAAUGACACGCCGGGCAGCUUCCGGGAAACCAAAGCUUUUGGGUUCCGGGGGAAGUAUGGUU
rnacentral:rRNA from 1 species